AGCUGGCUAGCUCAAUUGGUACAGCACAAGACUCUUCAACUCAGGGUCGUGGGUUUGAGUCCCACGUUGGGCA